CAACGCGAAGAACCUACCAGGCCUUGACAUGCAGAGAACUUCCAGAGAUGGAUGGUGCCUCGGGAACUCUGACACAGGUGCGUGCAUGGCUGUCGUCAGCUCGUGUCGUGAGAUGUUGGGUUAAGUCCCGUAACGAGCGCAACCCUUGUCCUUAGUUACCAGCACGUUAUGGUGGGCACUCUAAGGAGACUGCCGGUGACAAACCGGAGGAAGGUGGGGAUGACGUCAAGUCGUCAUGGCCCUUACGGCCUGGGCUACACACGUGCUACAAUGGUCGGUACAAAGGGUUGCCAAGCCGCGAGGUGGAGCUAAUCCCAUAAAACCGAUCGUAGUCCGGAUCGCAGUCUGCAACUCGACUGCGUGAAGUCGGAAUCGCUAGUAAUCGUGAAUCAGAAUGUCACGGUGAAUACGUUCCCGGGCCUU
rnacentral:rRNA from 1 species